rnacentral:rRNA from 1 species
GAAGGGGGCUAGCGUUGCUCGGAAUUACUGGGCGUAAAGGGGGCGUAGGCGGAUAGUUUAGUCAGAGGUGAAAGCCCAGGGCUCAACCUUGGAAUUGCCUUUGAUACUGGCUAUCUUGAGUACGGAAGAGGUAUGUGGAACUCCGAGUGUAGAGGUGAAAUUCGUAGAUAUUCGGAAGAACACCAGUGGCGAAGGCGACAUACUGGUCCGUUACUGACGCUGAGGCUCGAAAGCGUGGGGAGCAAACAGGAUUAGAUACCCUGGUAGUCCACGCUGUAAACGAUGAGUGCUAGUUGUCGGCAGGCAUGCCUGUCGGUGACGCAGCUAACGCAUUAAGCACUCCGCCUGGGGAGUACGGUCGCAAGAUUA